UCUAGUAACAAAACAGUAAAAAAUAAUUACUACGUUGUAAUGGUAAAUAAGAAGUUUGAACCUGGCCUAAAUAAGAAGUUGAAGCCUGGCCGUUUGAUAUAUUUAGAGAAAAUCGCGUAAUUUUUUAGGGUUUUGCAAUUAAAGCUUAUGUAAAGAUUCUAGGAUUCGGAACAUAAAACUCUAUGAUUAAGAGUUCAAAAAAUUCAUUACAGAAGGAUGAAUUAAAAAGAUCAAGAAGUUCUGUGUCAUAUAAAUCUAAAAGGACAAGUUAAAAACACUUGUGUAUAAACAAAGUAAACACAAGUAUGAAAAGAAAUUAUAGAACACAAAGUGCCAGAAAGGAUCGUCAAGAUAAUUCGCUGAUCACGAUCUCUCCAACAGGAAGCCAUUUUCAUGCCACCUGUUUACAUAUAGCUUUAAGUAACAUCCAGUGUCAUUGUUUGCAUCAAUUGUGAUAUGUUACCAUUUUAUAGAUGAAGUUCAUACACUUUGACAGAUAACAGAAGGAUUGCUCGAGAGAGAGAGAAAAAAAACAGCGUUUCUCUUAUAGUUUAUUGCUCAUAAUGUCACAUUGGCUGUGUUUCUAAACGACUUGCAAAUAAUUCCUGAUCUUUGUGAAUGAUGUUCUGUUGUCUAAGAAAUUGCUUUGAUGGCCUCGGCUUCGCUACGACUCAAGCACCGAAGCGAGAACGAAAUCCUAUUAUCUUGGAUACGACUCAUAUGGGAAAUGAAGUAGUGAUAGUGAAAAAUGGAUUAAGAAUAUGUGGAAGCGGAGGUGCCUUGACGAAUGCUCCUCUUAUUCAGAGUAAAAGUUAUUUUGAAGUAAAAGUACAGCAGAACGGUAUAUGGGGCGUUGGAUUAGCCAGAAGAGACACAAAUCUCAAUGUUGCUGUUGGAGGGAAGGACUCAGAAAGUUGGGCGCUUGAUUCUGAUGGUAUCAUAAGGCACAAUGAGCAAGAACUCCAUAAGAUUCAGAAUCCUGUACAGGAAGGAGAUGUCAUAGGAGUAUCUUAUGACCACAUAGAAUUGAAUUUUUAUUUGAAUGGAGAAUCCAUGAAUGCUCCAAUUAUAGGUAUAAAAGGACGGAUUUAUCCAGUGUUAUAUGUGGAUGAUGGAGCUAUUCUAGAUUUAAUUCUAGAAAACUUUAUUUAUACUCCGCCAGUGGGUUUUGAGAAAAUAAUGUUGGAACAAUCAUUGCUCUAGCAGAGCGAUACCGAUAAAAAUAAAAUAAUCGUAUUAUCAAAGCUGACGUUCUUCGUCCACUUUGAGUUUUGUUAAAUUGAGUUAAAUUAAAUGUUGUGAAUGUUAAGGCUGACUAAUUAUCGCAGUCAUAUUGAACAUAAUGUCAUAACACAAAAGACAUAUUGAAAUUUCUUGCAUUUCAUUUGCAAAUAAAGAGAGAUUGGAUAAAACAACAUUAAAAAUCAUUUUAAGACACUUAUAGAAAUUGGCGGAAACGGAAGUGAGCGGCAAGAAUUCUACUGCAGUUUCUUAUGAUAAAAAGAUGAACUAACAGAAGAAAGGAAAACGGGAGCGUCCCGUUUGACCACGUUGCGAUCGGACAGCUGCUUUCAACGAUCGAUGCCUGGAGAUUUUCCACUGGAUUAAUCAAUCAAAAAAUUUUAUUUUAAAUUGGCCAAUCGACAACGUGAGCAAUCAAACGCUACCCAUAAUGAAGUAGAUUUUACAUAACUGAGAAAAAAUUCUUUAGAAUUUAUUAAAAGACAGCAUUAAUUGUUCAAAUGAAUUAGUCAUUCCUAAUCCGAUGUCUAUUUUACAAUAAUUGCAAUACGUAUUUUUAUUUGUAUAAUUGUAAUGAUAGAUACAAAUAUGUAUAUACAAUUUGUAAUAUAUACUAUUUGAAUGUGUGUACGCGCGUUCGAAA
rnacentral:misc_RNA from 1 species